AACGCGAAGAACCUUACCUACUCUUGACAUCCACGGAAUUUAGCAGAGAUGCUUUAGUGCCUUCGGGAACCGUGAGACAGGUGCUGCAUGGCUGUCGUCAGCUCGUGUUGUGAAAUGUUGGGUUAAGUCCCGCAACGAGCGCAACCCUUAUCCUUUGUUGCCAGCGAGUAAUGUCGGGAACUCAAAGGAGACCGCCGGUGAUAAACCGGAGGAAGGUGGGGAUGACGUCAAGUCAUCAUGGCCCUUACGAGUAGGCUACACACGUGCUACAAUGGCAUAUACAAAGAGAAGCGAACUCGCGAGAGCAAGCGGACCUCAUAAAGUAUGUCGUAGUCCGGAUUGGAGUCUGCAACUCGACUCCAUGAAGUCGGAAUCGCUAGUAAUCGUAGAUCAGAAUGCUACGGUGAAUACGUUCCCGGGCCUUGUACACACCGCCCGU
rnacentral:rRNA from 1 species